GGGCCCGCACAAGCGGUGGAGCAUGUGGUUUAAUUCGAUGCAACGCGAAGAACCUUACCUACCCUUGACAUCCUCGGAAUCUGCCGGAGACGGCGGAGUGCCUUCGGGAACCGAGUGACAGGUGCUGCAUGGCUGUCGUCAGCUCGUGUUGUGAAAUGUUGGGUUAAGUCCCGUAACGAGCGCAACCCCUGUCCCUAUUUGCCAGCGAUUCGGUCGGGAACUCUAGGGAGACUGCCGGUGACAAACCGGAGGAAGGUGGGGACGACGUCAAGUCAUCAUGGCCCUUACGGGUAGGGCUACACACGUGCUACAAUGGCAGGUACAAAGGGUUGCAAGACGGCGACGUGGAG
rnacentral:rRNA from 1 species